GUGAAUCAUCAAAUUUUUGAACGCAAAUUGCGCUUCCUAGCAUCCCGGGAAGUAUGCCUGUUUGAGGGUCAGUAUUAACAAAAAAUUCGGUUGGUUUCAAAAUGUGACGUUUCCGGAGGUUGGGCUAUUCUAACCUUUUUGGUUUAAGGGCUUAAAAAUGACCUUUUUUGCGCAUUUUUAGACGGACCUAAAUUUUUUUUUUUUUUCUCUAUUUUUUAUGCCAAAAUC
rnacentral:misc_RNA from 1 species